UACGAAGGGGGCUAGCGUUGCUCGGAAUUACUGGGCGUAAAGGGCGCGUAGGCGGCACAACUAGUCAGGCGUGAAAUUCCUGGGCUUAACCUGGGGACUGCGCUUGAUACGGUUGAGCUAGAGGACGGAAGAGGGUCGUGGAAUUCCCAGUGUAGAGGUGAAAUUCGUAGAUAUUGGGAAGAACACCGGUGGCGAAGGCGGCGACCUGGUCCGUUACUGACGCUGAGGCGCGACAGCGUGGGGAGCAAACAGG
rnacentral:rRNA from 1 species